rnacentral:rRNA from 1 species
AUUAGAGUUUGAUCCUGGCUCAGAUUGAACGCUGGCGGCAUGCCUUACACAUGCAAGUCGAACUGCAGCAUGAUCUAGCUUGCUAGAUUGAUGGCGAGUGGCGAACGGGUGAGUAAUACAUCGGAACGUGCCCUGUAGUGGGGGAUAACUAGUCGAAAGAUUAGCUAAUACCGCAUACGACCUGAGGGUGAAAGUGGGGGACCGCAAGGCCUCAUGCUAUAGGAGCGGCCGAUGUCUGAUUAGCUAGUUGGUGGGGUAAAGGCCCACCAAGGCGACGAUCAGUAGCUGGUCUGAGAGGACGAUCAGCCGCACUGGGACUGAGACACGGCCCAGACUCCUACGGGAGGCAGCAGUGGGGAAUUUUGGACAAUGGGCGAAAGCCUGAUCCAGCAAUGCCGCGUGUGUGAAGAAGGCCUUCGGGUUGUAAAGCACUUUUGUCCGGAAAGAAAUGGCUCUGGUUAAUACCUGGGGUCGAUGACGGUACCGGAAGAAUAAGGACCGGCUAACUACGUGCCAGCAGCCGCGGUAAUAC